GAGAGAUCCAGGAAGAGCUCCCCUCCACUGGCUUCCCCGCCCUCCUCCCAGUAAUCACGCCUCCUCCCAAGCGUCCCAACCGUGGUCGGGUCACUGGGUUCGGCGCUGGUCCUGGUCUUGGUCCAGACCCUCCCAUGGCGUCGACGGAGCAGGAGGUGGCGGUCGACGCGGCCGCCGUCGUGGAGGAAGUGACGCGACAGCAGGGCAAAGGGUGCGGCGUCGCAGGAGGAGGGGAUACUGUUGUGUCCUCGAGGAACAUCGACAUUGCCUGGAGCAAGGCGGAUGAAGCUGAAGUGACAAGUUGGAGAGGGCGAUGAUGAGUCACUCAGCUGAAUUACUCCGGGAUGGCAUAUCAUGGAGCAAAUAGGUCUUGAUUUUUCUCUAGAACCCACUGAAACACUCUUACCAGAGGAUGGCGCGCGGGGAGGGCGGCG
rnacentral:misc_RNA from 1 species